GAUGGAGGACAGGUGAUCGCGGCUGCAGGUGUCGAAAGACCGCAGGUGAGGAAAGUCCGGGCUUCACAGGGCAGGAUGCCGGUUAACGGCCGGUGGAGGAAACUCUAAGGAAAGUGCAACAGAAAUAUACCGCUAUAUGUCGUCGGUCCUUUCAGGACUGACGACCUGCGCAAAUCCCAACGCGAAGCGUUAUUUUCAUGGGAUUUGCACCUUUCAUUUAAAGUGGGAGAACAGGCAGAGAGUCUUUUAAGGACUGGCGAUAUGUAGUAAGGGUGGAAUGGCAGUGUAAGAGACUACCGCCUCGCUGGUAACAGGGAGGGCACAUGUAAACCCCAUUCGAAGCAAGACCGAAACAAAGCUUUGACGUGGCCCGCCAGCUUUAGGUAGGUCGCUUGAGGCGGCUGGUAACAGUCGUCCUAGAUAGAUGAUCACUCAACGACAUAACCCGGCUUAUCGUCUUGCGCAAUGU
rnacentral:RNase_P_RNA from 1 species